AUUGACAUAAUUAUUUGUAAUUAUUUUGGAUAAUUAAAGUUAUUAAAUGAAAUUUUCAAUUAGAAUUGUAUGAAUAGGGUGAUAUUAUGGUUACUAAAUUCGAUUUAUUUUCAACUACUGUAACUGCUGGUAAAGUUUUCAAUUUUGUUAACUCUGUUACCACUGUAAUAACUCUUGAUUUCUGUGAUGAUAAAUCUAUGUAAUACAUUGUGGUUCGCCACUACUGAGAUAAAUCUGUGAACUACUGUAUUAAACAAGUCAAUUGCUUCUUUAUAUAGAAAUGCAGCUGCUGUCACCAGAACAGAAAAUGUAUAAAAGUCAGAUAGUUUCUGCUACCUUUUAAAUGAAGAAGAGUGGGCGAUCUCUAUUUUUCAAAUUGAGAUUCUCUGUUGGAGGUGCACUUAUGGUUAAAGGGGAAUUCGGCAGGGUUCAAACUAGCAUUGUGGGCCACCAAGGGGCCUUCAGAUAGGCCCACUUGACGUUACCAAAGACUGAUGUCCUUUGAGAAGCCGAUUUGACUUGAACCCUUGGAAGUCAAUAUGCAAGCUAUUAGGCUUGAACCUUACAUCUAAUCCACAGUUCAUCCUCCUCCAUGCACUAACGGAACUCCGGAUCGUCCAUGAUGCCCGUGGUGUGGGGUUGGCUCUUAGAUGACUGUAUCUGCUUCAAAGUCAGGUUAAGUAGGAUUUCCCAUCCAGUUGGAGCACUUGUUUAUUUUUAGUUGAUGAAUUUGUUUUUUCAUUUUCCCCAUAUUUUAAUAGCUCAGCCUCUAUCCCAUUGAUAAUAAAUUAUUCCUUUUUAUUUAAUUUAUCUUUUAUAGGUUCAUGUUUAUCACAAUAUUUAUUUUUAUUGUUUAAUUUGAUUCAAGGGGGAACAAAAAUUUAGUUACACGACGUUAUUUAACAUCUUGUAUUACAAUAAUUAGUUUAUGGUUUAGUAACUUUUUUCUGAAUAAUACUGAGAUCUCGUUCAACCUCACACUGUUAAAAGACUUCGUCAUAUCGACAAUUCACAAGUAUGCAGGUUUAUUGUAUUCUAGAGAUUUUUUUUGAUAAUGAAUAUUGUGUCGAUGAUGGAUCUGUUCUUUUUGAAGCCUUGUUCUUGUAAACCUAUGGUUUAGGUGAUUUUUUUCUAUUAUAGUUGUCGUGAAUGCUUUGGGAGUGUCAAAAUUUUAUGGAAAAUUAUCAACUUACCUUGUUUAUGAGCUCCUACAAUAAAAAAGUUUCUAAUAGAAAUGGUAGGAAUAAUUAAAAUCGAAAUUUUCCUUACAACUUUAUUAAAUCACAAAUUUUUCAUGCGAUUUUACAUAGAAGACGCACAAAAUGUAAAUUUUCAACAUUCAGUUUUGGAUGAUAAAAAUUUAAAAAAUCAUAAAACGAACCAAAAAUCAAUUUAUCUAAAAAAUAUUAAUUCUAAUUUUAAACAAAAAUAAUUGAAAUUCACGAAAUUUGUAAAUUACAAUAAAUUUUUGGGUAGCUAAAACCGAUUAAAGUAUUAAUGACAUUGAAACGAGAAAAGAAUCAAAGGGAAUUAAACAAAUGGGAUGAUAAAAUACAAAUACUCCAAUAACAAUGAGAAAAAGAUUAACAAACAUUGGGAAAAUAACCCACAAAAUCGAGUACGGCUGAUAAGGGGUCCUGUAGGGACGAAAUAGAAGUGGAUAUGGGAGUAUUGGUAGAUAUAUAGCUGGAACUAAGGAAAAAAAUUAAUUAAAACGAAGAGGAAGCAGAGAAAAUUGGUACAAAUAAAAAACAAAGGAUAAUCAGUCAAGGUUUAAACGGAAAAGGAGCUAAUAAUAUACAAUAUAAAACAGUCAAACAUUUAUAUAUAUAUACAAUUUAUUUUAAAUGUAUACAAAAAUAUUAAGACACUACAAAAGGCAAAGACAGGAUUUGAAAAAUCGAAAUUUAAUUGAUUGCAGUACAAAUUUUGAACACACUUUGUAUAGUUACCAAAUAUACGCAUAUACAGGAGAAAUCUAGAGCUAGAUAGUGAUAAAUCAAAUCGAAUAAACCUGAAAAUGAAUAUUAAACUUUUCUCUCAGUAGAAAGUUAAUUAAUCCUACUGUAACGUGAGUUUACAACCCUUUAUCCCUUCAAGAACUCGAUUAAAUCACACAUUACACUCUUUAGAGGACAGAUGGAAGGGAAAUAUUGAGAUGAUUUAAUAAAAAAUACUACCAAUGGUACCACAUUGUCUGUUUUAGUAGUCGCAGCCCUAGUAAUUAGCACCAUUCAGGAUACAUACUACUGACGAAAUCAGUAACGGACAUAUAAAAAGGUUAAAAGUCAUCCUUUCAUGAUUGAAGAAACGAUUUAAACAAAAAAAUCCAGGAUCUAUAAAGAAAAUGAUUUCUGUUGACUCCGUAAUCAAUUAUAUCCCGAAACCCUGUAACGCUAAAAUCUUUUUUUUUUUUUCUCUUAAUUAUCACAGAAAAUCAUGUUACACAACACUAGAAGAAAAAAAAUAUGUCGUUCUCUAAAAUUUGGUUAAGAAUAACAUCGUUAAUUUAUUUAUUCAUAUGAUUAGAGAACAAACUGAUCGCCUUUCUUUUUAAUAACCUAAUUAUUAAUUUAAUCACAUAUGAAUUGUAGCUGCCGUGUAUCUGGCUUCUCCUCUUCUCCAUCCCCAUUGGCUGGGUCGAUACUACAACAAAAAACACAAAUUCGCCUUCCGUCUUAAGUCAAUAUUCACUAAUAUUAAUGAAACACCCUAUAUACUAUUACAAAUCUAUCUAUAUACUAUAUCAAAAAAAUAUUGAGUGGAGACCAUCGAACAUAACCAUAAAUUUUAUUUCUGGGAAAAAAGAAUAUUAUUGUAAUGAAGUUAGGUUAUAUGUUAUUCUUCUUAGAGGUUAGGUUAUAUGUUCAACGGGUUGUUAUUCUUAAUUUGAGGUUAGUUUAUAUACUCAAGAGGUUAAGUUAUUCUUCUUUAGGUUAGGUAUAUGUUUAUAAGGUUAUGUUAUUUUUCUUUGAGAUUAGGUUGUACGUUCCAAAGGUUAUGUUGCUUUUCUUUGAGGUUAGGUUAUAUGAAAUUCUUGUUCUGUUAAUAAACACAGUUCAAAACUAGAAAAUUGAUGAAUUUCUGAAAUUGUCGAAUAUUCUGGCGUGUUUUCUGAAUGUUCUAGACCGUAUCUGAAGAAACUAGAAAGACAUUGAAGAGAAAUUUGAUUCAGAUGUAUUCCAGACUGUAAGCGAAGAAUAUAGGAAAAGAUUCGAGAAAUAAUCGAAUUGUAUAUAAAAUCGAAGAACGAAAAAAGAAGAAAAUGACAUAUAGGGAUUGAGGAAAACGUCAAAAUUUGUGUCCAAUCCUUAAUCUCUGUUGAUAAAAAAAUUAAAUUACAAAAAAGAAGAAAA